rnacentral:sRNA from 1 species
GCUGGGCAUGGUGGCACACACCUGUAAUCCCAGCAGCUCGGGAAGCUGAGGCAGGAGGAUCGAGAGUUCAAAGCCAGCCUCCGCAAAAAGCAAGGCACUAAGGAACUCAGUGAGACCCUGUCUCUA